AGUGAUUGACUUUCCACAACAAAUGGCAAGCCCCAUAAUCAUCAUGGGAGUUUUCAAGAACAUUGAUAAUUUCAGAAAAGUUUUUGCUCACGAAUUCGUGCCAGCCAUCAGAUUGGUGGGGCCCACCAAUGUAAUGAAUGGCAUAAAUUCGUGCAUUCAUGAAUUCACACUGCAUAGCCCAGCUUGAUAAUUUCACUUCAUGUUUACACCCAUUAUUACAACUCUUCAGCCAUCAUAGCAAUCUCAUCUUCACCAAAAUCCAUCAAAAUAGCUGAAUUCAAACACUCUCAACUCAACUCAACUAAACCUU
rnacentral:misc_RNA from 1 species